AGUACUGGGUCUGGAACUUGGAUAUUGAAGAAUAUUUAAUGUUCAAUCAGACGGGCAAAUGCCCAGUGACAAGACGAGUGGAUCUAGAGCUUGGAUAUUGAAGAAUAUUUCAUGUUCAAUCAGACGGGCACAUGCCCAGCGACAAGAGUACUGGGUCUGGAACUUGGAUAUUGAAGAAUAUCUUAUGUUCCAGAAAGCGGAAUGAAUCUAUAUUCACGUUGGAGUGCAGAUUGGUAAUACCUGCUGGGAACUAUAUUGCCUGGAGCAGCGUUUCCCAAACGGUGGGUCCCGACGUCCUGGGGGUCGUCACAGAUUCAGCGGAUCAGUUGCAGAUAUUAACAAAGUCUGCUUUGAACCUACUAACCAGAUUGUGAAGCCGACGACUAGCGUCAUGGCGUGCAUGUGAGUGGCAGCAUCACGACCAGGGGUACCAUUUAGUUUGUAGGCAGGUGCCCUACUGGACUGGUUUUAAGAGUGAUGCAGAUCUGCUAAAACUGCUGCUGCUGCUGCUUUUCCUUGCUGAAUACUGAGGUGGGUAUCAACUGCCACCCGUUCCAGGCAAGGAUCUUGCGAAGGUCCUGCGGAACAGUUUGCAUGCUCUGUGACAGACAUUGCUAAGCCCCGUGUGAACCACAUGUUCGGCCUGGUGUGCAAGCGCUCCUUCAUACACUGCUACAUAGGCGAGGGCAUGGGCGAGGGCAUGGAAGUGAGGACCUGGCAUCCCUGAACUGAGGCAACCGAGGGUGCUGAUGAAGGUGGAAUGGAGUUGGAAGCGUCAGAUGCAUGCCUCAUUGAGCGGAGUGGAGUGGGCAUCUCCACCUAUUCCAUGUUCUGAAAGAAAUAAAUCCACUUGCGUAUUGA